rnacentral:rRNA from 1 species
UGGUGGGGUAACGGCCCACCAAGCCGAAGAUCCGUACGGGCCAUGAGAGUGGGAGCCCGGAGAUGGACCCUGAGACACGGGUCCAGGCCCUACGGGGCGCAGCAGGCGCGAAACCUCCGCAAUGCGGGAAACCGCGACGGGGUCAGCCGGAGUGCUCGCGCAUCGCGCGGGCUGUCGGGGUGCCUAAAAAGCACCCCAUAGCAAGGGCCGGGCAAGGCCGGUGGCAGCCGCCGCGGUAAUACCGGCGGCCCGAGUGGCGGCCACUUUUAUUGGGCCUAAAGCGUCCGUAGCCGGGCUGGUAAGUCCUCCGGGAAAUCUGGUCGCUUAACGAUCAGACUGCCGGAGGAUACUGCCAGCCUAGGGACCGGGAGAGGCCGGGGGUAUUCCCGGGGUAGGGGUGAAAUCCUGCAAUCCCGGGAGGACCACCUGUGGCGAAGGCGCCCGGCUGGAACGGGUCCGACGGUGAGGGACGAAGGCCAGGGGAGCGAACCGGAUUAGAU